rnacentral:rRNA from 1 species
UACGGAGGGUGCAAGCGUUGUCCGGAAUCACUGGGCGUAAAGGGCGCGUAGGCGGCUCAUGAAGGCCGUGGUGAAAGUCCGGGGCUCAACCUCGGAUCGGCCGUGGCGACUCGUGGGCUGGAGCACUGUAGAGGCGGGUGGAAUUCCGGGUGUAGCGGUGGAAUGCGUAGAGAUCCGGAAGAACACCAGUGGCGAAGGCGGCCCGCUGGGCAGUGGCUGACGCUGAGGCGCGACAGCGUGGGGAGCAAACAGG